CUCCGGCCGCACUCCGAGCUGACCGAGCCUGGACUGGUUCAAGGUGUCUGUCUCAGACCUGACGUGUAUUAAGAGAUACAAUUCAAAAGAAGAUGUCCAGCAUUGGGCUUAUUCUACUAGAAGAUGUUCAAAAAGUGGCAGGAGCUGCUACCACCACCAGAAACCCAGGCCAGACCUGAGCAGGCAGAAGGAAGAGCACAUGCAGAGGUGUUUCUAAUACGUCUGUCAUGCUGCGGAGAAUGAGACGGCCUCCUGAGAUGGUCUGGGCUUCUUCUAAGACCCCUGGACAACCUAAUGCUGAAUUUCCCAUUUAAUGUGA